CAGGAAGUGACAUAGCAGGCAGACUCAGAAUAUAACCAGGGAUAAGCAGGAAAUCUCUCUCUUCUUUCCCCUUUCUUCUCUGUGGAGCUGCCAUGUGAUCACGCAUUUGAAUCUAACUUAAAAGGGAAGAGCACUUAAAGCUCCAUCUGAAAGAUCUUCACAGCCAUAGGAGAUGAAAACAGAAACGUCUGUCUGCAGCCGCUGAUGGCUGAGGAUGACAGAGAGGAUGUUCAUUAGCAGAGACAGCUAACGCUCUGUGUAUGUCAGAGGCAGAAGACUGGAAACCUCUGGGAGGCCAUGUACAAGUAGGAAAACAUGGUAGAUAAGAGACACGACCUUCAGUUUCCAUUCUGCAGAUUAAACAAUGGAAGCCUCCCAUGAGGCCAAGUGUCACCUCUUCAUUGUUAAUUUCGGCUGCUGCUGUAUCCUGCUGAACAAGGGUCUACCCACACUCCUCUAGGGUUUAAUCUACUGCUUUGGGAGUGUGUCUUACGGCUCCUGCCUCCAGGUUCCAGCCCUGCUUGAGUUCCUGUUCUGACUUCCUCCAAUGAUGGACUAUGAUCUGGAAGUGGGUUGAAGAUACACUAGAGGAGAAAGAAUCAUCAACCAAAGAAAAUCUAAAGUCCAACAAAUCCCUAACACAAAAUAUCGAGGAAAUAUGGGACAGUGUGAAAAGACCAAACCUAAGAAUAAUAGGUACAGAAGAAGGUGAAGAAAUCCAGCUCAAAGGGGAGAUUGGAUAUUUUAAAGAGACUAAAUUUUAAAGACUGAAUUUGUAAAGACCAUGGGACUUUUAAAUGAAUUUAAUGUGAGAUCUUGGGGAUGAAUAAGAAAG
rnacentral:lncRNA from 1 species